rnacentral:rRNA from 1 species
GAUGAACGCUGGCGGCGUGCCUAAUACAUGCAAGUCGAGCGAACGGACGAGAAGCUUGCUUCUCUGAUGUUAGCGGCGGACGGGUGAGUAACACGUGGAUAACCUACCUAUAAGACUGGGAUAACUUCGGGAAACCGGAGCUAAUACCGGAUGAUAUUUUGAACCGCAUGGUUCAAAAGUGAAAGACGGUCUUGCUGUCACUUAUAGAUGGAUCCGCGCUGCAUUAGCUAGUUGGUAAGGUAACGGCUUACCAAGGCAACGAUGCAUAGCCGACCUGAGAGGGUGAUCCGCCAACGAGGAGCAUGACCACUGUCCAAACGCCUAGGGGAGGCAGCAGGGGGAUAUUUCCCAGAAGGGGGGAAAGCCUGACGGUGAAACGCCGCGGGGGUGAAGAAAGUUUGUGGAUUGUAAACCUGUGUUAUGGGGGAAGAAAAUAUGUUAAGGUAACUGUGCAACUUUUGGCGGGCCUUAACCAAAAAGCCCCGGCAAACUGCGU